GACGAACGCUGGCGGCGUGCUUAACACAUGCAAGUCGAACGGUAAGGCCCUUCGGGGUACACGAGUGGCGAACGGGUGAGUAACACGUGGGUGAUCUGCCCUGCACUUCGGGAUAAGCCUGGGAAACUGGGUCUAAUACCGGAUCGGACCACUGACUGCAUGGGUGGUGGGGGAAAGAUUUUGCGGGGUGGGAUGGGCCCGCGGCCUAUCAGCGUGUUGGUGGGGUGAUGGCCUACCAAGGCGAAGACGGGUAGCCGGCCUGAGAGGGUGACCGGCCACACUGGGACUGAGAUACGGCCCAGACUCCUACGGGAGGCAGCAGUGGGGAAUAUUGCACAAUGGGCGCAAGCCUGAUGCAGCGACGCCGCGUGAGGGAUGACGGCCUUCGGGUUGUAAACCUCUUUCAGCACCGACGAAGCGCAAGUGACGGUAGGUGCAGAAGAAGGACCGGCCAACUACGUGCCAGCCGCCGCAGUAA
rnacentral:rRNA from 1 species